UACGAAGGGUGCAAGCGUUAAUCGGAAUUACUGGGCGUAAAGGGUGCGUAGGCGGUUCGUUAAGUCUGUCGUGAAAUCCCCGGGCUCAACCUGGGAAUGGCAUUGGAAACUGUCCAGCUGGAGUGUGGCAGAGGGGGGUGGAAUUCCGCGUGUAGCAGUGAAAUGCGUAGAGAUCCGGAGGAACCCCAGAGGCGAAGGCGGCAGCCUGGUUGGUAUCUGACGCUCGGACACGACAGCAUGGGGAGCGAACGGG
rnacentral:rRNA from 1 species